GAUGCCCUUUUUUUGAUUGUACAUAACUUUUCUAUGUGUAUAGUAUGUGUAUAUAUAUAUAUAUAUAUAUAUAUAUAUAUAUACACAUACAUACACAUAGAAAAGUUAUGUACAAUCAGAAGAA
rnacentral:pre_miRNA from 1 species